ACCGUGAAAAAAUUAGAGUGUUCAAAGCAGGCAGAUCCAAUUUUCUGCCACCGAAUACAUUAGCAUGGGAUAAUGGAAUAGGACCCUGUCCUCCUAUUUUCAGUUGGUUUUGGCAGCGCGAGGACUAGGGUAAUGAUUAAUAGGGAUAGUUGGGGGCAUUAAUAUUUAAUUGUCAGAGGUGAAAUUCUUGGAUUUAUGAAAGAUUAACUUCUGCGAAAGCAUCUGCCAAGGAUGUUUUCAUUAAUCAAGAACGAAAGUUAGGGGAUCGAAGACGAUCAGAUACCGUCGUAGUCUUAACCAUAAACGAUGCCGACCAGCGAUUAGGAGACGUUGAAUACAAAACACCACCAUCGGCGCGGUCGUCCCUGGCUCGUCGUCUCACGACGGCGGGCGGGGGCGGUUUAGCCCGAUGGCACCGGUGAAUGACUCCCUAGCAGCU
rnacentral:rRNA from 1 species